rnacentral:rRNA from 1 species
AUUGAACGCUGGCGGCAUGCUUUACACAUGCAAGUCGAACGGUAACAGCACUUCGGUGGCUGACGAGUGGCGAACGGGUGAGUAAUACAUCGGAACGUGCCUAGUAGUGGGGGAUAACUACUCGAAAGAGUAGCUAAUACCGCAUGAGAUCUAAGGAUGAAAGCAGGGGACCUUCGGGCCUUGCGCUACUAGAGCGGCUGAUGGCAGAUUAGGUAGUUGGUGGGAUAAAAGCUUACCAAGCCGACGAUCUGUAGCUGGUCUGAGAGGACGACCAGCCACACUGGGACUGAGACACGGCCCAGACUCCUACGGGAGGCAGCAGUGGGGAAUUUUGGACAAUGGGCGCAAGCCUGAUCCAGCAAUGCCGCGUGCAGGAUGAAGGCCUUCGGGUUGUAAACUGCUUUUGUACGGAACGAAAAGCCCUCUUCUAAUACAGGAGGGUCAUGACGGUACCGUAAGAAUAAGCACCGGCUAACUACGCG